rnacentral:rRNA from 1 species
CAGCAGCACGGUAAUACGGAGGGAGCUAGCGUUGUUCGGAAUUACUGGGCGUAAAGCGCGCGUAGGCGGUUACUCAAGUCAGAGGUGAAAGCCCGGGGCUCAACCCCGGAACUGCCUUUGAAACUAGGUGACUAGAAUCUUGGAGAGGUCAGUGGAAUUCCGAGUGUAGAGGUGAAAUUCGUAGAUAUUCGGAAGAACACCAGUGGCGAAGGCGACUGACUGGACAAGUAUUGACGCUGAGGUGCGAAAGCGUGGGGAGCAAACAGGAUUAGAUACCCCCGUAGUCCCUGUCUCUUAUACA